rfam:Corynebacterium lipophiloflavum DSM 44291 genomic scaffold SCAFFOLD2, whole genome shotgun sequence.
CUGCGGAGAGCGUGUACGGACUCUGUCCGUGGCGUGGAGCGUUCUGGUGUACUUCCCCGACACCAGAACAGCCGCCUCGGGCAGGGCCCUAUACGUUCCCCGACCGAGA